rnacentral:rRNA from 1 species
UUGUUGGGUAGGGGAGCGUUCUGUAAGCCUGCGAAGGUGUGCUGUGAGGCAUGCUGGAGGUAUCAGAAGUGCGAAUGCUGACAUAAGUAACGAUAAAGCGGGUGAAAAGCCCGCUCGCCGGAAGACCAAGGGUUCCUGUCCAACGUUAAUCGGGGCAGGGUGAGUCGACCCCUAAGGCGAGGCCGAAAGGCGUAGUCGAUGGGAAACAGGUUAAUAUUCCUGUACUUGGUGUUACUGCGAAGGGGGGACGGAGAAGGCUAUGUUGGCCGGGCGACGGUUGUCCCGGUUUAAGCGUGUAGGCUGGUUUUCCAGGCAAAUCCGGAAAAUCAAGGCUGAGGCGUGAUGACGAGGCACUACGGUGCUGAAGCAACAAAUGCCAUGCUUCCAGGAAAAGCCUCUAAGCAUCAGGUAACAUCAAAUCGUACCCCAAACCGACACAGGUGGUCAGGUAGAGAAUACCAAGGCGCUUGAGAGAACUCGGGUGAAGGAACUAGGCAAAAUGGUGCCGUAACUUCGGGAGAAGGCACGCUGAUAUGUAGGUGAAGCGACUUGCUCGUGGAGCUGAAAUCAGUCGAAGAUACCAGCUGGCUGCAACUGUUUAUUAAAAACACAGCACUGUGCAAACACGAAAGUGGACGUAUACGGUGUGACGCCUGCCCGGUGCCGGAAGGUUAAUUGAUGGGGUCAGCGCAAGCGAAGCUCUUGAUCGAAGCCCCGGUAAACGGCGGCCGUAACUAUAACGGUCCUAAGGUAGCGAAAUUCCUUGUCGGGUAAGUUCCGACCUGCACGAAUGGCGUAAUGAUGGCCAGGCUGUCUCCACCCGAGACUCAGUGAAAUUGAACUCGCUGUGAAGAUGCAGUGUACCCGCGGCAAGACGGAAAGACCCCGUGAACCUUUACUAUAGCUUGACACUGAACAUUGAGCCUUGAUGUGUAGGAUAGGUGGGAGGCUUUGAAGUGUGGACGCCAGUCUGCAUGGAGCCGACCUUGAAAUACCACCCUUUAAUGUUUGAUGUUCUAACGUUGACCCGUAAUCCGGGUUGCGGACAGUGUCUGGUGGGUAGUUUGACUGGGGCGGUCUCCUCCUAAAGAGUAACGGAGGAGCACGAAGGUUGGCUAAUCCUGGUCGGACAUCAGGAGGUUAGUGCAAUGGCAUAAGCCAGCUUGACUGCGAGCGUGACGGCGCGAGCAGGUGCGAAAGCAGGUCAUAGUGAUCCGGUGGUUCUGAAUGGAAGGGCCAUCGCUCAACGGAUAAAAGGUACUCCGGGGAUAACAGGCUGAUACCGCCCAAGAGUUCAUAUCGACGGCGGUGUUUGGCACCUCGAUGUCGGCUCAUCACAUCCUGGGGCUGAAGUAGGUCCCAAGGGUAUGGCUGUUCGCCAUUUAAAGUGGUACGCGAGCUGGGUUUAGAACGUCGUGAGACAGUUCGGUCCCUAUCUGCCGUGGGCGCUGGAGAACUGAGGGGGGCUGCUCCUAGUACGAGAGGACCGGAGUGGACGCAUCACUGGUGUUCGGGUUGUCAUGCCAAUGGCACUGCCCGGUAGCUAAAUGCGGAAGAGAUAAGUGCUGAAAGCAUCUAAGCACGAAACUUGCCCCGAGAUGAGUUCUCCCUGACUCCUUGAGAGUCCUGAAGGAACGUUGAAGACGACGACGUUGAU